GGUUUUAGUGAGAAGCUCGAGAGCGGGGGGAGGGACGGCGUUGGUCUGGAGAUCGAGAGAUGAAGCGGAGAAGAGAGGGAGAGGAUGGAGGGGAGAAGAAGGCUGGGGAGGGUGAUCGGACGGUGACGGACGAGGAGGUGGAGGAAUUCUUCACCAUCCUACGGCGAAUAAGUGAGGCGUGGCCGAUGAUCGCAAGGAGAGAUGGUGAUGCGAGCGUGAAUCUCGGUGAGCGGUGGCUGCCGGAGUUCGUUAUGGAGGACUUCGAGGCUGGAGAGAGAGAUCAAGGACCAGGAUCACGGGAUGAGGACCAGAUCUCGAGGCAACUCGAUCUCAAUCAAGAGCCCAAGUCUGAUAGCGUGCCGCCGAAGACACAGACAGAGACGGCGAGAAGAAGGUGAUGAGGAGGCCUCGUCGAGAUCGUUUUCUCGGAUGAGGGUGAGGAUACGGUUGUGGUUGCGGUGGCGUCUUCAGGGAAGGCGAAGAAGAAGUCUGUGAGGAUUGGGCUGAGAAUUGUUGGUUGAUAGAAGCUUGGUCUGUGAAAAAUAGUGUGACUGUAAGCUCAAAUGAGAAUUGUUUUACAAUAUUUCAACUCAAAGCCAUUUUUACUAUGAGUUGAAUUACCGGGGAAUGGAAGUGAGAAGUAACUUGUAUCACAUGUGAAAUGUAUUUUUACCUCAAACCAAAUACUAAAAACUAAC